UUCCCUCAGUGAUGCUAGGGUCUUGAAACUCAGCCCAGUACAAUCAUUGGUGUUUGAGCUGGCAACUGGGGGUCUAAUUGCCAGCCGAGAUGGAUAUCUCUGACUCUGGAGAUACAGCUGGGAUAGGACAUUGUUGCUUCUCUGCGGCAGGCAGCUCUUGACAGGGUAUCUCUGUGCAGUCCUGGCUGUCCUGGAACUCACUUUGUAGACCAGGCUGGCUUAACGUUGAUGAAGACACCCAAAAGCUCAAAGAAGAUGGAACACCGGAGUGCCUUUGCCAUCAAACUUAUUCAUGCACUGUGUAAGAGUACAGAAGAUAUGCCCUUCCCUAAUCUCAGGAGAAAUAGAGCAGUGAGAGGAUACCCACGUGAGGUCUGGAGGAGGGGAGAGAUAAGGGAGGCAUAAGAGAAACAUAAGCUGCAGAGUCUUCAGGCAAGCAAGUGAAAAAUGGAGCCGACUCUUAGAAAUUCACAAAGGCGCAGGAUAUUCUGCCUUACAGGAACACAGGCUUAGUCAUUAUGUGAGCUGUGCUACAGGCCACACGCAAGACAGACAGGCACUUGUGACAGGGUUCACAGAGAUGCUGCGUAGGGAGGAUUUUAGUUAAUGUGUGACUGUAACACAGCUGCCUUGGACCUGGGUGCUAGUGUGCCUGGCUGUGUUCCUACCCCAUCACAGCCCUAUCUGUUAGAGACUCAUGACCUGAAAGGCCUGGGUUUUCUAACAACCAGCACUCUUGAAGAGCCUGGUCACUGUCUUCUAUAUGCCAGACCUCACGGCAGUGUGACAGCUUCUCAAUUGGGUAUCUUAAAUAUAGUACGUGUGAUUGGGAUCUCAGAGUAGCAAGAGACAGACAAGGAGAGAGUAUUUAUUUUUAAUGGACAGAAUAGACAAAGCAAUGGUCACAAUGCUCUGACUUUCUUUGGCACUUCCUUACUAUGUUUGCAGAAGUUUACUAAACUCUCACUUGAUCCGUGUAGGCUAAUGAACAAGAGCCUACCUGGAAUCAUAAAUACAGGAUCACAGCCCUUCAAACAACGUCUGGGCUUGACCCAGCUUACAAAGCCAGUGUCCCUCAGAUAAAGGGGAGACCAGGUCUGCUUCAGGAAAAACCGACACAUGUUUUACUGUUAACCAUUGUACAACUAUUCUUCAAAUGAGCCUCUGGUGGUUGGAACCUCAUAGGCUCAUAUAUUUGGAUGUUUGGUUCCCAGUUGAUGGAGCUGUUUUUGGAAGGAUUAGUAGGUGUGCCCUUGUUGGAGGAGGUGUGUCACUGGGGUGAGCUUUGAGAUUUCAGAAGUCCACGCCUAUCUUUCUUGAUUUUCUUGUGUUUUGCAAAGUGUUUCAGGUUUUACAUGAGGCCUUUGACUCAUCUGGAGGUGAGUCUGUGCAGAGUGGUACAUGCAAGUCUACUUUCAUUUCUCUACAUGCAGACACCCAGCUCUCCCAGCCUCGUUCAUUAAAGAUCAAAGAAGCCAGAAGCCAUCUUUUCUCCAGGCAGUUUAUUUUAUUUAUUAGUUUUCUCUCUCUCUCUCUCUCUCUCUCUCUCUCUCUCUCUCUCUCUCUCUCUCUCUNUCUCUCUCUCUCUCUCUCUCUCUCUCUCUCUCUCUCUCUCUCUCUCUCUCUAUUUUUGUCAAAUAUUAAGUGGCUGUAGUUACACUUAUUCAUGUUUGGGUCUUCUAUUUUGUUUCAUUGGUUUACAAGACUGCAUAUGAAUAAGGCAACCCUAGAAGAAGAAAGGGCCCUACAGUAGGCAAAAAGGGUCAGGAAGAGCCCUCGCUCUCACUGUUAGGAUCCCUACAAGAAUGCCAAGUUACACAGCCAUAACAUAUAUGCAGAGGACCUAGGUCAGAGCCCUCCAGGAUCCCUGAUCUCUGAGUCCCCAUGAGUCCCAGUCACUUGAUUCUGUGGGUCAUGUAUUCCUGGUGUCCCUGAUCCCUCUGGUUCCUCCAGUCUGUCCUCCCCUUCCUCUGCAAGUCUCCCUGACCUCCACCUAACAUUUGGCUGUGGGACACUGCAUUUGCUCCCAGCGGUUGCCAGAUAAAGUCUCUCUGGUCUCUGAUGACAAUUCUGCUAGGCCCCAGUCCCGGUACACUAGGCAGGACAUACUGUAGGUUGAAAGUCUUAGGUCUGGGUUGGUGUCCCAAUCCCUCCACUUGAGGCCUUGCCUGGUAAUAGAAGACAGCUGAUUCAGGGCCCCUCUCCCCACUACUAGGAGUCUUUGCGAGGGUUAUGCUCAUAGAUUCUAUGGAGUUCCAUUGCACUAGAUUUCCACCUCACUCCCCAAAUGACUCCCCCAAAUUCCAGUCAUUUCUCCCAGUAAUUUCUCCCUCUCCCCACCUGAUUCCCCCUGUUCCUAAUCCCACCAACCCUCAGUCCACCUGAAAAAUCUCUUCUAGCUCCCUUCCCAGGGAGAUCCUUGUCCCACCAUUAAGCUUUCAUUGUUACUUAGCUUCUCGAGGAUCCUGGACUGCAGCAUGAUUGGCUUUUGCUUUACAGCUAAUACCCUCUUGCAUGUAAGUGUGUCUAUGAUGGUGUGUGUCUAGUCUUAUUAUAGCUUGUUAUGCUGUUUUCAUUAAUGUUCCUGGAGGCUUGCUCUUUUCUAAGGGGACACAGAGGUGGGCAGUAGAUCUGGGGGACAGGGGAGUUUGGAUGGAGAGACUAGGGGGUGGUGCCAUCCCUGGGCUGGUGGGCCUGGGUUCUAUAAGAGCAGGUUGAGCAAGCCAGGGGAAGCAGCACCCCUCCAAGGCCUCUGCAUCAGUUCCUGCCUCCAGGUUCCUGUCCUGUGUGAGUUCCUGUCCUGACUUCCUUUGGUGAUGAACAACAAUGUGGAAGUGUAAGCGGAAUAAACCCUUUCCUCUCCAACUUGCUUCUAGGUCAUGAUGUUUUGUGCAGGAAGACAAACCCUGACUUCUUUGGGUCAGGGAUGCUUUGACUUCUUUGCCAGAGAUGGGCAAGCCUGUCGCAUUCCUGAUCUAAAGGAGCCAUUCAUCAACGAGUUGUUUAAUUUCCAUGAGCAUGUAUAUUUAAGAGAAUUGUUUGCUGUUGAUCUAAGUUUUGUCAAAUUAUGUAUGGUCAAUAGGAUACUUAGAGUUCUGCUUCUUCAAUAAAAUAGCCCUUAUGUUUAUUCUUUUUUUAAUUG
rnacentral:lncRNA from 1 species